AUCCAGACUCCUACGGGAGGCAGCAGUGGGGAAUAUUGCACAAUGGGGGAAACCCUGAUGCAGCGACGCCGCGUGAGUGAAGAAGUAUUUCGGUAUGUAAAGCUCUAUCAGCAGGGAAGAUAAUGACGGUACCUGAGUAAGAAGCCCCGGCUAACUACGUGCCAGCAGCCGCGGUAAUACGUAGGGGGCAAGCGUUAUCCGGAUUUACUGGGUGUAAAGGGAGCGUAGACGGCAUGGCAAGUCUGAAGUGAAAGCCCGGGGCUCAACCGCGGGACUGCUUUGGAAACUGUAUGGCUGGAGUGCUGGAGAGGUAAGCGGAAUCCCUAGUGUAGCGGUGAAAUGCGUAGAUAUUAGGAGGAACACCAGUGGCGAAGGCGGCUUACUGGACAGUAACUGACGUUGAGGCUCGAAAGCGUGGGGAGCAAACAGGAUUAGAUACCCCUGUAUG
rnacentral:rRNA from 1 species